UACGGAGGGUGCAAGCGUUAAUCGGAAUUACUGGGCGUAAAGCGCGCGUUGGCGGUUUUUUAAGUCGGAUGUGAAAGCCCCGGGCUCAACCUGGGAACUGCAUCCGAUACUGGAAGACUAGAAUGCGGGAGAGGGAGGUAGAAUUCCAUGUGUAGCAGUGAAAUGCGUAGAUAUAUGGAGGAAUACCAGUGGCGAAGGCGGCCUCCUGGCUCGACAUUGACGCUGAGGUGCGAAAGCGUGGGGAGCAAACGGG
rnacentral:rRNA from 1 species